GGGNNNNNNNNNNNNNNNNNNNNGAUAAAUACUGAGCAGAAGAGAAACUCGGUCUUUUCUUUCCUCCUGACUUCUUCAGUCUGCAGAAGGAGCUGAAACUGAGAGCGCUUCAUGCUCUGCUGCUCCGUGAGGAUAUCUUUGGCCAUGUAGCCGUCGCUUGCGUCUUUCCUAUCUCUGGAGGAGGAAGAGGAGUUAAAACAUAUCUGCCAAGGGAUGUGUCACUCAGUCCUUCUGCCCCGGUGUCAGAUGUCAUGUGGGGGGGCCACGCCCAUGGAAGUCCCCCUGCAGUCUGCACUCGGGGUCCAGCGGGCCUGCAGUGGACAGCGCCGGGUCUACACCGACCUGCCUAUUGAGCCCCAGAUUCCAAAAGCAACCACAAAAACCACAAAAACCUUUUUCGCUUUUGGCGUCUGUUGCUUGGUUGGCAGGCUCUGUGGUUGGCUUGCCGUUGAAAAAACCACCUUUUAUUAAAGCUCUUCAAUGCUGUACGCCAUUUCCAACUUAACACCAAAAAAAAUCAAUAAAAACAGUAAAAUCAUGGAACGUAAAAUGUCUCUGGUGUUGUUUUUUUGUUUUAAAAAAUGUUAAUCAUUUAACCUGCAGGUGUGUAACGUUUAUUACACUUUAGUGUGAUAAUGAGGGAACUAAAAUAUAUUUCUUCUACUUUUAAUAAUCAGAAGCUACUAUACUGUAGCGAUAUUACAGGUUACUGUAUUGCCAAGAGGAUGUGGGCCGGCCUAAUGAUUGAGUUCAGGUGCUUCAGCCACACCCACUUCUAACAGGUGCAUAAGCCUCAGAUCUCAGCUGUGGAGUGUGAUGGGAACGCAAACCCUGUGCUGUUGUUUAAGUCUUGACCUCCAUAACACAUGGUGAGAAUUUGGGGAGAACAUCAAGUUUUUCACCCAAAACACGUGCUAUUUUUUCAGGUGAAAUUUUAGCAGCUUUUCCUCACAUUCACACCGCUGCUUACGGGGGUCAAGGUGUAGACUGGACUGUGCUUUGUUUCAGCCUGUGUCCCUCCUAAGCUGAGAUCUGAGGGUUUUGGACACGCCCAUUUGUGACAAUAUGGUGCUAUUUCAUGUAGAACUCUGUGUAUAUACUCUGGGAUGCCGCUUCCACUAUAUAGAAGUUAAAUUGAAGAUGUUUGUACUGAGUAUUCAUCUGCACUGUCACCAAAAGUGUUGUGUAGCCUCAGGUCUUGGUCCUGAAGAUGCCUACCAAGUUUUGCGUCCGUGUGUAAGGUCAUUGCUGAGAUACAGCCUCACUUCCUGUUUAGCGUCCUCGUUGGCAGAUUCGUUGUCCCAUUACGGACAAACCAAUUGGAGUAUUCAAAAUUCUUUUGAAAUUUUGUUUAAUUCAACAGAUAACGUUUGUGAGGCUUACGCUCACUGACGUAUGUUGUGACGUAAAUUUAGUGUUUAUUGGACAACAUUUUCAGGAGGAGUAGCAAAAGCGAUUUUUUUUGACAAAAUCCACAGCGGCACAAAAUCUAUUUAGGCAGAAAAUAGGCACAAAUUUGACCCGAUGGUGGCGCUAGACGUUAGCAGCACUUAGUUCAAAUUUGGUCAGAAUGUUCCUUAGAACCUCCCCAAGCAGUGUCCCAAAUUUUACAAGGUUUUACCAGACUGUUCUAUGAGCUGCCACAGACACAGACGCCAGAAGAAGAAAAGAAUAUUAAUAAUAAAAGGUGGAAUAACAGU
ensembl:lncRNA